UGAGUCGGCAGCAGCCCGGCCCCCGGCGCCAGCCGGGCCCCUGCGGGCCUGGCCCGGACGGGGCGGCCUGCUUUCGAGUUCCUGAGGGCGGGUUGCGCGUGACCGCGAGUCCGGCGGAGCCGGAGAGCGCAGAGGCCUGAGAGGGCUCUGAGGGCCGGGUGGCUGCUCGGGCCCGAGUCAGACAGACGGAGUAUGCGCGGGCGGGAAGCGUGGGCGCUCUCGGCCCCCGGGACUAGUCACCGCCGCCGUGCGAGCCGAUCUUUCUCAGUGCGGGCUUCGGGGGCAGCCCGGAGGCCCCCUUCCUCAUGACCUUUGCCACAGGCGGGAUUCCCCAUGCUGGCUCCUGGCACUGAAGGAUAUUGAUGGACACUUUCCUGGCCUGGCCAUCCAAGAAGCAGUUGAUAAGGACAGCAGCAGCUGGCUCUCCUUCUCCACAGGUUCCGCCUCCACUGAUUCAAUCGCAGAACCCAAGGGUGCUGAGGGCCACCCGGAACUCUGCUCAGGAAAGAUACAAAGAGAAAACUAAGGACCGAAAGGACACAAUGUUUAAAAUGUGAAUUUGGAAAGACGGACAUCCCCUUGGUCACUUCAUACAACACCCCUGUGGGCAGAAGGGAAUCGUUUCUCUUUUUCUCUCGAUCUGGUCCUUCCAGACUUCGGAAACUCUCAGUGGAGGAUUCUUAUCUCCUUGGCGAUCGUGACUGCCACAGGUUCCUUAGGGGCCCAGAGGGUGUUUCCGAGAAACGCGGGGACGCACUCCUGGAUAGGAGAGUCCUGCGCUACGUGUGUUUGCUCCUUUGCCUGUGGUUCUUCACCCGAGAGGGGGACUGGAUCCUGAAGUUUUCUGAGUUGCCUCCACUAUCUGGGGACCACCCUCUCUGGGUGGGGGGGUGGGGACAUGUCCCGUGUUCUCUUGCCCUUCUGACGGAGAACUCAAAAGGCCCUGUGCCUGAAGCCCUGCGGAUGGAAGCUAGAGGACUUGGUGAACAUUUCUGACAGAGCUUCCCUGGUGGCUCACACGGUCAAGAGUCUGCCUGCGAUGCAGGAGACCCGGGUUCCAUCCCUGGGCCAGGAAGGCCUCCUGGAGAAGGAUAUGGCAACCCGCUCCAGGACCCGACCCUGACAUCCAGAAAUCUGUCUCCUAGACUGCCUCUCCCUCCGCCGACUGGUGUCUCGAAUCUGCUUCAGGGAUGAACCUGUGUGUUUCCUUGGUUUCCCUACAAGUGCCUCUGAGGAAAAACUACCUGAUUGCUUGCACCCCAGGCCUGCUUUCCUGAACCCGUCCAUCGACAUCAUGGCCUCCUGAGAGGAGAUACGAUCACUGUUUCACUGAAUGGAGGAUCUGUGCUCAGAAACUCUUUCCACGACAUGGAGGCCCAUACUAACUAACCUAUUUGGUUCCUCCUUCCUCCUUCCCUCCUUCUUGGCGCUCAACGUUCUUAACAGUCCAACUCUCACAUCCAUACAUGACCACUGGAAAAAUCAUAGCUUUGAUUAGAUGGACCUUUGUUGGCAAAGUAAUGUCUCUGCUUUCCAAUAUGCUAUCUAGGUUGGUCGUAACUUUCCUUGCAAGGAGUAAGCGUCUUUUAAUUUCCUGGCUGCAAUCACCAUCUGCAGUGAUUUUGGAGCCCAGAAAUACAAAGUCUGACACAGUUUCCACUGUUUCCCCAUCUAUUUCCCAUGAAGUGAUGGCACCAGAUGCUAUGAUCUUAGUUUUCUGAAUGUUGAGCUUUAAGCCAACUUUCUCACUCUCUUCUUUCAAUUUCAUCAAGAAGCUCUUUAGUUUUUCUUCACUUUCUGCCAUAAGGGUGGUGUCAUCUGCAUAUCUGA
ensembl:lincRNA